rnacentral:rRNA from 1 species
GACGAACGCUGGCGGCGUGCUUAACACAUGCAAGUCGAACGAUGAACCCGGAGCUUGCUCCGGUGGAUUAGUGGCGAACGGGUGAGUAACACGUGAGUAACCUGCCCUUGACUCUGGGAUAACUGCGGGAAACUGUAGCUAAUACCGGAUACGACCCUCGGCGGCAUCGCCAGGGGGUGGAAAGAAUUUCGGUCAAGGAUGGACUCGCGGCCUAUCAGCUAGUUGGUGAGGUAACGGCUCACCAAGGCGACGACGGGCAGCCGGCCUGAGAGGGCGACCGGCCACACUGGGACUGAGACACGGCCCAGACUCCUACGGGAGGCAGCAGUGGGGAAUAUUGCGCAAUGGGCGAAAGCCUGACGCAGCAACGCCGCGUGCGGGAUGACGGCCUUCGGGUUGUAAACCGCUUUCAGCAGGGAAGAAGCCGCAAGGUGACGGUACCUGCAGAAGAAGCACCGGCUAACUACGUGCCAGCCGCCGCGGUAA